rnacentral:rRNA from 1 species
AAUAGAUACCCCGGUAGUCCACGCCGUAAACGAUGAGUGCUAAGUGUUAGAGGGUUUCCGCCCUUUAGUGCUGCAGCUAACGCAUUAAGCACUCCGCCUGGGGAGUACGGCCGCAAGGCUGAAACUCAAAGGAAUUGACGGGGGCCCGCACAAGCGGUGGAGCAUGUGGUUUAAUUCGAAGCAACGCGAAGAACCUUACCGGGUCUUGACAUCCUCUGCCACUCCUAGAGAUAGGACGUUCCCCUUCGGGGGGACAGAGUGACAGGUGGUGCAUGGUUGUCGUCAGCUCGUGUCGUGAGAUGUUGGGUUAAGUCCCGCAACGAGCGCAACCCUUGUUCUUAGUUGCCAGCAUUCAGUUGGGCACUCUAAGGAGACUGCCGGUGACAAACCGGAGGAAGGUGGGGAUGACGUCAAAUCAUCAUGCCCCUUAUGACCUGGGCUACACACGUGCUACAAUGGAUGGUACAAAGGGCUGCGAAACCGCGAGGUUAAGCCAAUCCCAUAAAACCCAUUCUCAGUUCGGAUUGUAGG